rnacentral:sRNA from 1 species
AUUUAGCCCUAAUAGAAGCGGCAUCCUCUUGUGUUGCGAUAGCAAAAACAAGAGAUACAGCGGAUAGUAGGUGGGUGU